UUCAAGUAUUCUAGUUAGCCAUAUAGCUUGAUUUACAGCAUUGGCAGCAGCAACAUACUCUGCUUCUGCUGUAGAUUGAGCCACAGAUCCUUGUUUCUUCGAGCCCCAUGAAAAAACACCUGAUCCCAGAUUGAAACAAUAUCCUGAAGUGCUCUUCAUAUCAUCAAUUGAACCAGCCCAAUCACUAUCUGUAUAUCCAAUUAAUUUUGAAUAAGAACACGGCUUAAACAAAAUGCCAAACUUCAAAGUGCCUUGAACAUAUCUCAGCACCCUUUUUGCAGCACCAAAAUGGACUUGACUGGGAUUUUGCAUAAACCUAGACAACAUGCUUGUAGCAAACAUGAGAUCAGGUCGUGUAGAAGUGAGGUACAACAAACUUCCAAUCAAACUUCUAUAAGCAGCACCAUCAGCCAAUUUUCCCCCAUCUUCUUUCUUGAAUUUCUCAUUUGCAAUUAAAGGAGUUGCCACUGAUUUGCAAUCAGACAUAUUGAACUUCUUAAGCAAAUCUUCAGCAUACUUCUUUUGAGAAAUAAAAAUGCCAUCAUCUUGACAUACUUCCAUACCAAGAAAGUAAUGCAUUAAACCCAAAUCACUCAUUUCAAAAGACUUCAUCAUCUCUAGCUUGAAUUCUUCAAUCAUCUUUGAGUCAUUUCCAGUUAUGAUCAAGUCAUCAACAUAUAAGGAGACUAUGAGCAGAUUUUUACCUUUGAUUUGAACAUAAAGUGUAGGUUCACUCACACUUUUCUUGAAGCCUUGUUCUCCAAAGUAACCAUCGAUCUUGCUAUACCAUGCUCUAGGUGCUUGUUUAAGCCCAUAUAGAGCUUUUUUUAGUCUAAACACCUUGUCAUCUUUCUUCUUGAAGCCUUCGGGUUGCUCCACAUACACUUCCUCUUCAAGUUCUCCAUUGAGGAAAGCUGAUUUAACAUCAAGUUGAGAGAUCUUCCAACUCCUUUGAGCUGCUAGUGCAACAACAGUUCUGAUGGUGUCCAAUCGAGCUACUGGAGCAUAGGUUUCAUUGAAAUCAAUCCCAGGCUGUUGUGAGUACCCUUUAGCAACCAAUCUUGCUUUGCAUUUCUUUAAUGACCCAUCAGGAUUAAGCUUCCUUUUGUAAAUCCAUUUAACUCCAAUGAUUUCUUUGCUGUCUGGACGAGGAACAAGCUCCCAGCAGCUGCAUAAUUUUCAGGUUCCAAAGAGGUAUAGUUGCAAGAUUCAUAAAUUUCACUUAGAGAUCUUAACCUUCUAGGAGGUGACUCGGGUUCUUCAGUUUCUGGUAUAGUCAAUGGCUGAUUUGAGUCUUCAUCUUUCUCCCAACUCAAGGUUGAGUGUUCAUCAAACACCACAUCUCUACUGGUUACCAGCUCCUGAGUUUUUAAAUUGAAGACUCUAUAUCCUUUGGAUUGAGAGCUGUAUCCAAGGAAAAUUCCCUUUACUGACUUUUCUUCUAACUUGUGCCUUUUUUGCUCAGGGACAUGGAUAUAACAAAUACAUCCAAAAAUUUUUAGAUGCUCAGCAGUAGGUUUGAUCCCACUCCAAGCUUCAAUGGGAGUUAAAUUUUUCACAGCUUUUGUAGGACAUCUAUUCAAGAGAUACACAGCUGUGUUAACAGCUUCAGCCCAGAACUUUUUAGGGAGUCCUUUUGCCAUUAGCAUAGACCUGGCCAUCUCCAUAACAGUCCUAUUUUUCCUCUCAGAGACUCCAUUUUGUUGUGGAGUAUAGGCAACAGUCAACUGGUGUUCCAACCCUUCAUUUUUGCAAAACUCAUCAAACUUUUUAGAGUUAAACUCAGUGCCUCUAUCACUUCUCAAAGUUUUGAGUUUUCUGCCACUUUGGUUCUCAACAAGCAAUUUAAAUUUCUUAAAAAUUUCAAAUACUUCUGAUUUUUCUUUGAGAAAGUACACCCAAGUCAUUCUAGAAAGAUCAUCAAUAAACAAGAUGAAGUACCUGUUUUGACUUUGUGAAGGAGUUCUCAUAGGACCACAUAAAUCUGUAUGCACAAGUUCCAAAACUGUUUUGGCUCUCCAUGCUUCUCCUUUUGGAAAGGAUUCUCUAUGUUGUUUUCCCAACAUGCAACCUUCACACACGGCCAUAUUUUGAUCUAGGAGAGGUAAGUUUCUCAUCAUAUUUUUUUGAUUUAACAACCUUAGUGCAUUAAGGUUAUAAUGUCCAAACCUUUGAUGCCAUAAGGUAGUUUCAUCAUUUUUAACCACAAGAGCCUUUGGGUAUUGCCAAUAGAUAGGAAAAUUUCUCCCAUUUCCCAUCUUCACUUCAGCCACCACAUGAUUGUUGUUCUUUAUAUCGUAAAUAGUGCACUGAUCAUCUUCAAAGUGAAGGGUGUAUCCAUUUUGCAUCAUCUGUCCAACACUUAGCAGACUUUGAUCAAGGCUUGGAACUAACAACACAUCAUUUAUAAAUCUGGUUCCCCUUUUGGUUUCCAAAGCUACUGUACCUUUCCCUCUUGCCUCCACCAGAUCACCAUUUCCGAGUUUGAUUUUUACCUUAACAGAAUCAUCAAUCCAAGAAAAUAGACUUGAAUCUGGUGUCAUGUGGUUGCUACAGCCACUAUCGAGAAACCAUUCUCUUUUUUGUUCAGUAGCCACUUGACAAGCAUAAAACAACUGCUCUUCCUUAUCCUCUGUAAAAUUUGCUUGUUGAUUCUUGUCUUUAAACCUGCAAUCCUUUUCUUCAUGGCCAAACUUUUUGCAAUUUGUACACUGAGCUUUGCCACGAUGAAAGCAAUUUUUCUCCAAAUGAUUAGUUUUCUUGCAAAUACCACAGGGUUGAAAAUUACCUUUUGUAGCAUACUUUUUCUGAUGACUUUCUCCAUCUUUUGCCUUGCCUUUAUACCCCUUUUUGAAAUCCUUUUGCUUCUGAUUUUUAAGAUUGACUUUCAACUGAAAUGCAUUUUCAAGAGUAGCUUCAUUCCUCCUGUCAAGCCUUUGUUCAUGUGCUUGCAGAGAACCCAUCAGUUCAGUAACUGAAAGUGUAGAGAGAUCCCGAGAUUCUUCAAUGGCAGCAACAAUCGAGUCAUAUUUCUCAGUUAAACUAAUGAGGAUCUUUUGUACGAUUCUCUCAUCAGUUAUGGCCUCUCCAUAAGCCCUCAUUUGAUUAACAACUUCAAUGAGUUUUGAGCAAUACUCUUUGGCAGUUUCAGAAUCUUUCAUUUUAAGAUUCUCAAGCUCCCUUCUCAACCCUUGAAGCUUAAUAGUUUUAACUUUGCUAUUUCCUUGAAACUCAAGUUGUAAAAUUUC